rnacentral:rRNA from 1 species
UGGGGAAUAUUGGACAAUGGGCGAAAGCCUGAUCCAGCCAUGCCGCGUGUGUGAAGAAGGUCUUCGGAUUGUAAAGCACUUUAAGUUGGGAGGAAGGGCAGUAAGCGAAUACCUUGCUGUUUUGACGUUACCGACAGAAUAAGCACCAGCUAACUCUGUGCCAGCAGCCGCGGUAAUACAGAGGGUGCAAGCGUUAAUCGGAAUUACUGGGCGUAAAGCGCGCGUAGGUGGUUCGUUAAGUUGAAUGUGAAAGCCCCAGGCUCAACCUGGGAAGUGCAUCAAAAACUGGAGAGCUAGAGUAGGGCAGAGGGUGGUGGAAUUUACUGUGUAGCGGUGAAAUGCGUAGAUAUAGGAAGGAACACCAGUGGCGAAGGCGACCACCUGGGCUCAUACUGACACUGAGGUGCGAAAGCGUGGGGAGCAAACAAGA